rnacentral:rRNA from 1 species
AGGGUUUGAUUCUGGCUCAGGACGAACGCUGGCGGCGUGCUUAACACAUGCAAGUCGAGCGGGGACAUUGAGGAGCUUGCUCCGAGAUGUUCUAGCGGCGGACGGGUGAGUAACGCGUGAGCAAUCUGUCCCAGACAGGGGAAUAACACAUUGAAAGAUGUGCUAAUACCGCAUAAGACCACGAGAUCGCAUGAUCUUGAGGUAAAAGGAGCAAUCCGGUUUGGGGUGAGCUCGCGUCCCAUUAGCUAGUUGGUGAGGUAACGGCCCACCAAGGCGACGAUGGGUAGCCGGCCUGAGAGGGCGACCGGCCACAUUGGGACUGAGACACGGCCCAG